rnacentral:rRNA from 1 species
ACACUCGGGAUCAGCACGUCGAUUACCCGCUGAAUUUAAGCAUAUAUUAAGCGGAGGAAAGAAACUAACAAGUGAUUCCCCGCUAGGUAACGAUGCGAGUGAACGGGCAAGGCCCAACACCGAAUCCCCUUGGCGCGAAGUCAACGGGAAAUGUGGUGUUAAGGUGUGGCGCUCUCGUGGUAGUCUAGGCGAUACCUCCAAGUGCCACCCUGAUUGUGCGCUCACGACCCAAGAAGAGGCAAUAACGGGCCCGUAGAGACGCUUCCGAUCGAUUCUGGGGUUUUACCUACGAGUCGUCUUGGUUUGGGAAUGCAGGCCAAAGCGGGUGGUAAACUCCAUCCAAGGCGUAAAUACUGGCACGAGCGAGUCCGACUAGCGGAACCAAGUACCGUGAGGGAAAGUUGCAAAGAACUUUGAGAGAGAGUUUCCAAUAGUACGACUGGAACCGCUUAGAGGCAAACGGAUGGUGCUCAUACUGCGCCCUGAGGAAUUCAAUCUGUGACGGUGUGGGCUGACGAGCGUGGCGUUGCCGGAUUCUCUUUUGGGACGGAGGGCGUCGGUUUUGGCUAUCAGCUCCGACAUGGUCAGCUUUCCUUGGUGCCUGGCCCGACGACGACACUGGCUACCCAGCGCUGGGUACAGGGUGACAAUGUUCGGCAAUUUGUUGUUAUAACGCUCGGCGUCAGGACAUGGUCGUUGGCCAGGUACGUCGAGGGCUUGCGGCGGCCCGCUCCUUGUGGGCUCCGCAGCGUUGGGCUAGUGUUGGGCUGCCGGCCCUAUGCUUGCACGUGGGGACCGCAGUACAGGGUGACGGUUGUGGGAGUCUUGUCUCUAGUUUGGCGUGCUCUGGGAGAUUGUUGCGCGGCCUAUAGUCAGGUGUGUAACUUGUGGGUAGACAUCCGACAGGGAUUCUUUGAACACAGGCUCGGACCCUAAGGAGUCUAAGCAUGGUGCCGCAGUUCAUGGGGAUCUCUCGAACCCAAAGGCAGUGAAAGAAAGCUCCGCAUUCUCCGGCUAGGCCUGAUAGUCUUUUCUCGUUGUUUGUCUGGUGUUGUCGCAUGGUCGGCGUUGACAUUGAUGGGUUGUGGGGAGUUAGGUUGGCGCCUUAAAAUUGUCUAAUUAGGGUAACGAAGUUAUUGAAUCCUGAAAGUGAGGUUCCUAAAAAGUGCUGUGACGGUAUGAGCUGAUUGGGUUGGUUUAACGGUCAUAGGACGGCAAAUACGUUUUGGCCGGCGUGACAAGGGCGGUUGUGGCCAGGAAGGGUAAAUGGAUGCGUCCUGAUGCUGGAGAUGAACGUGUGUGUAGGAUUCGGGUCGGCCAUGUUCGCGAUGCUUUUAGCUCGUAGCUGUCACUUCCACCUGCUUGGCGCGCCGUUCGAUCUGAUCUGCUGUCAGUGCUGGUGCGUGCCGCGGAGGGGACCGGCGAGAAAGGGAGUGGUGGAAAACUACUCGGCUUGUGAAGUCCCUACACUAUGUUCGUCCCUCGGAUUGAGAAUGUCAUGUUGGUCACUUUUGGUGGUCGGACAAAAAGCACUUUCGAUAUGCAUUGAAGGAAUAUACGCGUAUAGCUGUGGUCUCUGUUUAGUAAGGCGUCUGUAAAUGUUUCCACAAAUUCUGAUUCUUGAUGGGUUUUUUUCUGUUGAAACCGUGAUUACUACCGGGGCCGGAAGAAGGCGCGAAAAGGCAUCUGAAUCGAACCAUCCUAGUAUCUGGUUCCUCCGCCCGAUUGGACAGAAGGCAUCAGCUUCAACGCCUCGAGAGCGGUGUGGUAACGUGCCUCAGCGGGAGAUACAUAGAUUUCGAUGCUCGGAUAGCCGAUGAUGCGAAUAACGCACACGCUCUGAGAGGGCGUGUUGAAGAGAGGUGACCCCAUCAUAUAAGAGACGUAUAUUCAUUAUCUCUAGUUCAUCAGGCUAAGUGCAAAUGCGGUCGAACUGUGUGUGUGUGACUCGUGCUACUUCUAGCGGGUUGCUUGAGAGUGUGGCCCGGAUUUCUCCAGAAAGUUCGCUGGUCGCUUGUGCUAGCUUGGGUAUGAGUAGAGAUCUCCGGGAGCAGGGCUAUGCUGUGAGAAGUCGACGGAAUAGUCUGAAGUCGCGUUAGGAUUCGAGGGCGCCGCGCACACACAUACGUGGUCACAUGCCUUGUUUAGGUCGACUCUUGCAGGUAACGUUGUGCAUCUGUGGCACGAGGGCAGCAAUUGCUGGAGAGGUGCUGUAUGGAUCUCGUUGUGGCGCCGGAGGUUUCGCCUUGGGUUGGAAUUCUGGCGUGAUAUAACGUCGGUCGGAUACUUCUCGACGUGCGGGCGUGUUGUUGCUUACUUGUGUCGGCAUAUGAAUAUGUACGGCUUGAGAUCGGAAGAGAAGUGUAUCAUGGGCAAUGGGAAUAGAUGGGUGUUCGCGGAGGGAUACAGGAUGAAGCAGCGAUGUGCCAAGACUUGGAUCGGGUGGAUGGUGGAAUGUCGGGAAAUGAAAGCUUGAAGUGGCUCUAAGGUGUUGGACUAU